rnacentral:rRNA from 1 species
AUUGAACGCUGGCGGCAGGCCUAACACAUGCAAGUCGAGCGAGCGGCGGACGGGUGAGUAAUGUCUGGGAAACUGCCUGAUGGAGGGGGAUAACUACUGGAAACGGUAGCUAAUACCGCAUACCAUCAGAUGUGCCCAGAUGGGAUUAGCUAGUAGGUGGGGUAACGGCUGACCUAGGCGACGAUCCCUCGCUGGUCUGCGAGGAUGACCAGCAACACUGGGACUGAAACACUGUCCAGAUGCCGACGGGAGGCAGGAGUGGGGAAUAUUGCACAAUGGGCGCAAGCCGGAUGCAGCAAUGCCGCGUGUAUGAAGAAGGCCUUAGGGUUGUAAAGUACUUUCAGCGGGGAGGCGUUACCCGCAGAAGAAGCACCGGCUAACUCCGUGCCAGCAGCCGCGGUAAUAC